UACGUAGGUGGCAAGCGUUGUCCGGAUUUACUGGGCGUAAAGAGCGCGCAGGCGGUCGGAUCAGUCGAAUGUGAAAGCCCCCGGCUCAACUGGGGAGGGUCAUUCGAUACUGUCCGACUCGAAGGCAGGAGAGGGAAGCGGAAUUCCCGGUGUAGCGGUGAAAUGCGUAGAUAUCUGGAGGAACACCGGUGGCGAAGGCGGCAUCCUGGACCGGCAUUGACGCUGAGGCGCGAAAGCCAGGGGAGCAAACGGG
rnacentral:rRNA from 1 species